rnacentral:rRNA from 1 species
UACGUAGGGUGCAAGCGUUGUCCGGAUUUAUUGGGCGUAAAGAGCUCGUAGGCGGCUCGUUGCGUCGGCUGUGAAAACCCGCAGCUCAACUGUGGGCUUGCAGCCGAUACGGGCGGGCUGGAGUUCGGUAGGGGAGACUGGAAUUCCUGGUGUAGCGGUGAAAUGCGCAGAUAUCAGGAAGAACACCGAUGGCGAAGGCAGUCUCUGGGACGGUACUGACGCUGAGACGCGAAAGCGUGGGGAGCGAACAGG